rnacentral:rRNA from 1 species
GCAUAUCAAUAAGCGGAGGAAAAGAAACUAACAAGGAUUCCCGCAGUAACGGCGAGUGAAGAGGGAAGAGCUCAAAAUUGAAAUCAGACAGCUGUGCUGUCGGAAUUGUAGUCUAGAGAGCGAGGGAGGUGGUCAGUGGGGGUAGGCUAAGGACCCUGGAACGGGCUGCCGGAGAGGGUGAGAGUCCCGUGAGCCUAGACGACUGAAAACACAUGCCUUGUUCAAAGAGUCGAGUUGUUUGGGAAU